rnacentral:rRNA from 1 species
UACGGGGGGAGCAAGCGUUGUUCGGAUUUACUGGGCGUAAAGGGCGCGUAGGCGGCCACCGCAAGUCAAUUGUGAAAUCUCCGGGCUUAACUCAGAAAGGUCAACUGAUACUGCGGGGCUAGAGUGCGGAAGGGGCAACUGGAAUUCUCGGUGUAGCGGUGAAAUGCGUAGAUAUCGAGAGGAACACCUGCGGCGAAGGCGGGUUGCUGGGCUGAUACUGACGCUGAGGCGCGAAAGCCAGGGGAGCGAACGGG